GACGAACGCUGGCGGCGUGCCUAAUACAUGCAAGUGGGACGCAAGAGAACACACUGUGCUUGCACACCGUGUUUUCUUGAGUCGCGAACGGGUGAGUAACGCGUAGGUAACCUGCCUAUUAGCGGGGGAUAACUAUUGGAAACGAUAGCUAAUACCGCAUAAUAUUAAUUAUUGCAUGAUAAUUGAUUGAAAGAUGCAAGCGCAUCACUAGUAGAUGGACCUGCGUUGUAUUAGCUAGUUGGUAAGGUAAGAGCUUACCAAGGCGACGAUACAUAGCCGACCUGAGAGGGUGAUCGGCCACACUGGGACUGAGACACGGCCCAGACUCCUACGGGAGGCAGCAGUAGGGAAUCUUCGGCAAUGGACGAAAGUCUGACCGAGCAACGCCGCGUGAGUGAAGAAGGUUUUCGGAUCGUAAAGCUCUGUUGUAAGUCAAGAACGUGUGUGAGAGUGGAAAGUUCACACAGGACGGUAGCUACCAGAAAG
rnacentral:rRNA from 1 species